rnacentral:rRNA from 1 species
UAGGGAAUCUUCCACAAUGGGCGAAAGCCUGAUGGAGCAACGCCGCGUGUGUGAUGAAGGGUUUCGGCUCGUAAAACACUGUUGUAAGAGAAGAAUGGCAUUGAGAGUAACUGUUCAAUGUGUGACGGUAUCUUACCAGAAAGGAACGGCUAAAUACGUGCCNG